ACAUUUUUCCCAUCUUGCAGUUCAAUUCAUAUUGUUUUAUAUCUUAAAUAUUUUGCUCACAGAUCACUAUUAACAUUCUGUAUAUAAUUCUGUUUUAUUUUCUUUCCCCUUGUAUUAAUUUCUUAGCUGAAAAGGCGUAAAGGAAGCAGUCACCCCAGUGGUGCUUGUGGAGAGGUAUUCCUUCAGAAAUUGAGAAGACAGAAAGCUGCAGAGGCAGGAUUGUUUCCAGAUAACACUGUAGUUCUCCGUCAUGCACAAGGACUCACCCCCCCCCCCCCCCCCCACACACACACAGAAAUGGUUCCUGGAUCAGUGACUCAAGACUUUGCAGUGGUUUGAUUUCUGCAGAAGAUGUAACUUUGUUUUAAUUAACCUUAUAAUGAAUACAUUGUGACCUUCCAGCAACCCAUAUACUGUACUGUAUACAGAACCAGUGAUGACAACAAUAGUUAAAAAAUAGCAUUUAUCAUAUUGAUAAAGCAUUGUGUUCUCUUUGUCAAGCUUCAUACAGUAAACUUUACUUCUGGUGCUUUUAUCAUAAAAAAGCAUCAGUUCUGAUCAGGAGUUUUAGUAAAGCACAUAUUCAUGCACAGCAAUCCCCUAGUUCCAGUCAUGAAGUGAAUGAUGUUAUUGUUAAAGUUAUAUUUCUGCAUUUUUAUGUAGCAGGUGUUUGUUUUCCUGAACACUUUAUCUUUCUUCCAUUGUUCGGACAAUCAGUGUUUAUCUGAUGCUGUGCUGAUUGAGUUUUAUAGAUGAUAUUGCACACUUGACAUGCAUGUCUUCAUGAUGUUAUUUUGUGAGUUUGAAACAUUUACAUUGUGUGUAUCACUUUUUGGUCAAUAGAAUCUUUUAAGAAAAUUUAUCUUUUUCCGGUGUUCUCUGAAAGACAUAUACCAUAUUUAUAAUGUUUUGUUUUUUAAUAAAAGAAUUUGCACACUGAAAAUUGUUAACGUUUACAACAUAACUGCCUUUUUAUUCUUCAUAGUUUUAUUCUUCAAAAACGAGCUUGGUGACAGUGCAGUAAUAUGCGCACUUUGUCUUUAAAUGAGUUUGACAUAUCAAUAAAUACUGGAAAAUUCUUACAAAA